UGUAGGCGGUAUGGUAAGUCAGAUGUGAAAGCCCUGGGCUCAACCCAGGAAGUGCAUUUGAAACUGCCAUUCUUGAGUAUGGGAGAGGAGAGUGGAAUUCCCAGUGUAGAGGUGAAAUUCGUAGAUAUUGGGAGGAACACCCGUGGCGAAGGCGGCUCUCUGGACCAAUACUGACGCUGAGACGCGAAAGCGUGGGGAGCAAACA
rnacentral:rRNA from 1 species